UUUGUUCACUCCCUCUAAAGCAUCUGGCACCAUCCAUUGUCAGAAGACAAGAUGCUGGGCUAGAUGGACCGUAGGUCUGACCCAGUAUGGCCAUUCUUAUGUCUGUCCCCCCACCCCCCUCCCCAUUGACUGUAAUGCAAUCCAGUUGCAAGAUCAGGUCUUAAAAAUGCAAGUAUCUUCUCUGCGCUGUGGAGGCUGUUAGUCUGGAGCUGGUGGUCUCCCUCUAAGGACAGACCCCUGUUAGGUCCAAGGAGCCCCAGUCAUGGAUCGGGACUCCGUUGCGCUAAGUGCUGUAUAAACCCACAACAAAAAGACAGUCCCUGCCCUAGGGAGCUGAAAAUGUAAGUAUAAGACAAACCAACAGAUGGAUACAGACAGGUGGGAGAGAACAAGGAAGCAAUGCAACAAUAUUGAUCAGUAUGAUAGGCAGUGAUAUUAUUACUACAUAUUACUCAUCUAAUUAUGUGUCUGAAGUGUCUGUCACUGCGUUGUGUAAGCCCUCGAUCCUAUAUGGAGAUCCAUGGAGAGGACUCUUGUGCCUCUGUGGAGUCAGUCCCAUUGACAAGCAUAUCCCAAUGCAGGGCUGGAGCCCAAGCCGUGGCAUGCACCAAGCUGGUUACUUCGUGCACAGAGGGUAAAAUGUCCCCAGCCCUAUCCUUGAAGUAGGUUGACAUGGUGCAUAAGCUUUGUGCUGGCCCGCUGCAUGAGGGUGAAUGUCACCCACUUCAUGUGCACAGCUGCCUGGUUUUAGACAUGAAGCUGUCUGCUUGAAUGUGCAAAUCUGAAAAUGUAAAGUCCAUGUCAUUGAUCCCAGCGCUCCUCUUGCAUGAGAACUUCCACUUGCACAUUAGUUUAUGGGCGUGGACUGGGCCAGUCACCCAAACAUGACUGACAUGCAGACUGUUUACCAUGGGGCAGAAAAUUAAGCAAUGGGAUCCUGUUGGAGGCACUGUUGUAAAUUUCUUAGUUUCAGGAUGACCACACAGUCCUGCAAUCCUCAUUCCAUGGACUGUAUCACUUCUAAUCGUCCUGUCAAAGCACAAGCCAGGAUAGAUUAGAGCUGUGAAAAUUUUGGACCUAGUCCUGCAGUGUGCUGGGAACCGCUGGGCUGUGAGUCAGGGAACCGGGGCUUUAGUUUUGGGUCUGCCACUGAAUCAUUGUGUGGCUUUAGCAAGUCAUUUAACUUUUUGUGCUGCAUCUGUGAAGUGGGGAUAAUUCUGCCUGCCUUCUUUUGUGAAGUGCUUUGAGAUCCUUAGAUGAAAAGUGCCUUAGAAAUGCUAAUUGUGGGGCACUUGGUACCUUGUAAGAUCAGGUCCUUGUCCUAAAUCCACUCCAAGAAUUCCCACCCACCCCUUUUUAACCUCGCUAGAGACUUGAUUCUUCUUUCAUUUACACUGGUACAAAUCAGAGGUAACUUCACUGAAGCUAUCCCAAUGUAAAACUGGUGUAAUCGGGCCCUGUUCCUGCAUCUACUCCUUUCCUGAUCAUUUUGUAAAAGAAGCGUUCAGCAAAAUGACUUUAAACAAGUUCGUUCCUGCCUUGAAAAUCAUUUGCAAAACCAAGAGAAACACUGCACAAUGCAUUCGGUGUAGAAACAGCUUUGCACCUACCAGGUCAGGAAAUCAUCCAUGAGGCCCAGAACAGGACAUUUAAAGGAGGAAAAAACAAUGAAAAAAGAAGCCAUAAAAAAAACGAUGAGCAACAUGUUAAGAUCCGAGGAUUCCUUCCGUAAACCAAGCUCCUGCAUCAAGCCAAGAGCAACAUUUCUUGAUGCAAGAAUAACUCCAGUAUGGUAUAUAAAAAAAAAAAAAAAAAAAAAGCAAGAGCAAGGCAGUGGUAGGAAGAGGAUGUAUACAAUUUUAUUACCAGCAAAACAAGCAUGAUGCACAGCUGAGUAAUGCAAUUGCUGUGACCACCA